rnacentral:lncRNA from 1 species
UUCAACCCCUUUAUUUAUUCAGCCCACUCCUAACUGGGCCCAAUCCCUUUAACCCAACCCCUCUUUCCAACCGCUCCAAGCCCAUUUUCCAAUACCUGACCCAACCCCUUUCUUCUCCGCAACGCGCUCUGCAGAAAAUUCGCCAAGACCCCCGAGAACUCUCAGGGUCGCAGCUAGUGUUGAAGUUGCUUCCAAUUACUUGUCUCCCUGUUUCGCUGCUCUUAAGAAGGUAAACUUCUUUAACAUCUCGAAUCGCUUUGGUCGAACUUUUGUUUAGUCCAUGAAUUUGAGCUUUAUUUUGGUCGUUUCUACCUCGGUCGAGUCUUAUUUUCGCUGGCCGUUCUAGUGCUUUCUUGCCUCGUUUUGAUUAAGUAUGAAGUUCCGUGCAUUAUCGAUUCGCCAUUCUGUCUGUAUUUUAUCAUAGUUUAUUUUUCAUCACCUGUUUGCUAGUGUUCAUACUUUUUUUUUCAUGUUCUUCAUUUAUCACUUGAUGGUCCACUAAUAACGAGUUAAGCAUAUGUUUUUAGUAAUUUAAUCCUAGUGUCAAGUAAAAAAGAGGUCGUGGGUCCUGCCUUAGGUGCACUUUGAUCUUCUUAUUAGUGUUUUUUUUUCUCUGCGAAUCAAUGCUAAAUAGAUUUCUUAACAAUUAUGUUGCUGAAAGUUCCCUUUACCUUUUAUUAUCCGUUGUUGGAAACAUAUACUUAAAGAAAUUAUUUGUUAUGGCGGAAGUAGUGCAAAAAUUUCAGAUCUCUUGCUAUGGCAUAUUCCUUCCUAGUUCUUUUCAAGUUGCAAGUUAGUUGCAUACCGCUAUUUGAUCGCUUGAAAUUUUCUUUGAAUUUGGCAUGCUGCUCUAUCGUCUAUUCUAACAUAUAUUCAUAUGUUAGUCUUGACCUUGUUCCCAAUUUAUUCAUAGCAAGAAUUGGUCAUUGAGGUCUUAUUUUGGCUGUGAUUUUCUAGUCUAUUCAUAUUUGGGUAUCAUUAAUCGAUUGUGUUAAUCAUUAAAAUUAUGUUUGCUUGUUUACUCAUGUUUAUAACUAGGUAGGGUCGGAUUCGAAUCUCAUUAGGAGGCGUUUUUGCUUUCGCUUUCAUAACUAGAGCGGCUUGUUUCCUCUUAAUAUUUCGAAGCUACUGUUGCGCAUUUUCUCAAGUUCAAUGCAUUUGAAUAAAUACAUACACAUAUGCCUAUUGUUUAGUAGCAGUUUGUUCAGACUUGUCUUUGACAUUUGGUCUAGUUUAUAUCUUAAGGAUGUGUGCCUUGGUAUACAAUUUUGAAUUUUCCGGUAGAUCUCUUCAUGAUUUAAUUCUAUCCGAGUUCUUCAGGAUGAAAUCCCUCCUCUUGCAUUCCAAGGGAGUCACAAAGACUCAUACUUCCUUCCAUCGAGUCGAGCAACUACUGGACAAGGCGAACAGAUCCCAAAAUUGGAGAAUACAUGAAAGACCAAGCCGGAGAGUGGAAGAAUGGAUCUUCAAGGCCCAAAUUAUUUUUUUAACAAAGAUUUGUAUUUUGUUGUUAUUGGGCUUAAGCCCCCCUUUAUUAUUUUAUGUAUAACUUGCAUAAAUCCCUUAAAUAAGGAGUCAUCCGAAUACAUAAUUGAUUGUCUGGAUACAUUGAUUAUGAUACAUUAUUUGCAGUUGUUGUGCAUAAAAAGGAAAAAAAACAGAAAAAAUCUAAUUACAAUUCCAUAAUUUAUGCUAUUCAGUUCCCUCUUAGUGUAAAUCACUGAAACCUAGAUUCUACCAUAAC